GAUGGAGAACGCAGCGAAAUGCGAUAAGUAAUGCGAAUUGCAGAAUUUCCGUGAGUCAUCGAAUCUUUGAACGCACAUUGCGCCCACUGGUAUUCCGGUGGGCAUGCCUGUUCGAGCGUCAUUAUCCUCCCUCAAACCCCGGGUUUGGUGUUGGACCCAAGUUGUGUGAACAACUGGUCUCAAAGACAAUGACGGCGUCCGUGGGACCCUCGGUGCAACGAGCUUUUAGGAGCACGCAUCGAGUUGCAAGGACCUUCCGGGCCGGUCUCCUUUACCAUUUUACAAGGUUGACCUCGGAUCAGGUAGGAAUACCCGCUGAACUUAAGCAUAUCAAUAAGCGGAGGA
rnacentral:misc_RNA from 1 species